UUCAUGUUUUGUUUCUUCUGUUACCCGUAUGUUUCGUCCUCCAGGUUUAAGCUCGUAGUCCGUCACCU
rnacentral:sRNA from 1 species